rnacentral:lncRNA from 1 species
GCUGUCUGGCCAGGGUGACUGGCGGAUAAGGUCUUGUGCGUGGCCUCGAGGCUUAAAAGUAGCAGCGGUGCUUUGUGAAGGACAAAAUGGCGAUGGCGGGCCGUGCAGGUCCCCCUUCCUAUGAUGAGGACCUUUUCACAGACCUGUACUGAGCUCCGUGAGGAUAAGUACCUCUGAGGAGAUGGGUCCUGCAAGCCUCCUGCUUAGCUGUCUGUUCAGAAAAUAGUGUUUUCGAAAUAACCUGUGUUGACCUAAUGUCUUAUUUGGCUCCUGUCUGCAGGGUUUACGCGCACGUUGGAAUCGAAGAGAGCUCUGUUGUUGCAAUGUUCAGCCCACAAGAGCUUACAGGUGAAGGAAUGGGACAAGACCCAUCUUUAUGCAAAGCCAGCGUUACAGUAAUGUUCCAGCAUCUCAUAAUCUAUCCUGAGGAAUUCAGCUGCCUCCCAGGGUGAAUACAGGUAUUUCUGAUGACAGUCUGCCUCUAUCUUACAGAGCAGCUUGUUGCUAUAUACCAUUGAAAAGCCUUCAGAGCUAAGAGGUACUACUAACCAAUAACCUGCUUGGCUCAAAGGGCCAGCACCUUCUCUCUAAAGCCCAAGAGGAGUUUGAGGAAAACUAGGUGUCUCUGUUCACUCCAGGCUGAAGUUACAGGUUUGAGGAAAGGUGUAUAAAAAAUGGAAUCUGUCUUGGAGGACAUCAGAAGUUGAAUUUUCCAAGUCCUUGGACAACCUAGCUGUUGAAAAGCUUUCUGGAUUUGGGGGGUCUUUCAGAUGUACCUUAAAGUGUUAGCAGACACAGAUUAAGACACUGGGAGCCAAUGAAACAUAGCAGUUGAGGGUUUGCUAUGUAUCACAUUUCUGUAUUUUAUCACCUCCUUCCUGCAACAUUAUUUCUGUGGAAUCUACCUGCCCUUUUGUUUUUUAGAUACAAGGGCUUGGUUUUGUUACCAAGGCUGGUUUCAAGGCCCUAGCUUUAAGAGAUCCUCCCACCACAGAUUUCCAAAGUGCUGGGAUUGCAGGUAUGAUUAGUGGCACCCAGACUUUGCUGCCUUUCUUACAUGAUCAAGGCCCGGAACCCAAACUCAGGCACUGCAUAGAUGACCAGUUUGGUAAACUACUGACCUAGCUUGUUGCCAAUUGUGAUUGAGCUUCCCAUAACUCCACUUCGUUUCUGUUUCUCUGUAUACAGACACCUUCUAUUCCCAUCAUGAGCCUUUAGGUCUCCAUUUGCAUAUUGCAAAUACUAUGUUCCGUGUAGGUAGCUCAUUCAGUGCCUUGCUCUUCACUUCAAAAAAGGUUCCCUUGAGGACUGGCUGUCAAUUUGUGUUGCUGUGUUGGUUAAUGAAAAUAAUAAAAUGAUUGAUUACAUA